rnacentral:lncRNA from 10 species
UGCCAUAUGACUAAUGAAGGAGAACUAGAAGCAGUCGCAAUAAAGUGAUGAACAAGUUGAAAAUGUCCAGUUUUACUAUUAGUAUCUAACAUAGGACAGGGGGUAUCAAUAAACAAAUAUGAAAAAUCAGGUUGGGGGACUUGAGCAGCCUGAUGGCAAGUCCUAUAUAAAGCUAUUAUAAUUAGGAAAGAUAUAGACAUUGGAACGGAAUAGAGAAUACAGAAGCAUCCACAGAUACACACAAAGGAUUAUGAUACAGCCUUAAAAAAGAAGGACAAUCUGUCAUUUGCAACAAUAUGGAUGGAACUGGAGGGCAUUAUGUUAACUGAAAUAAGCCACGCACAGAAAGACAAAUGCUGUGUUUCACUUACAUGUGGAAUCUAAAGUCAAUUUCAUAGAAACAGAGAGUAGAAAGCUGGUUACCAGAAGCUGGGGGGAGGGGAAAGGAUAAGGAAUGAGAAGAUGUUGAUUAAAGGGUACAGAGAUUCAGUUAGACUGGAGGAAUAAGUUUUAGUGAUCUAUUGAACUGCAUGGUGACUACAGUUAAUAAUAAUGUAUAUUUCAAAAUUGCUACAAUAGAUUUUUCAUGUUCUCAUUACAAAAAAUGAUACAUUGGUGAGGUGGUAGAUAUGUUAAUUAGCCUGAUUGAAUCUUCCCAUAAUGAAUAUAUAGAUUAAAACAUUACAUUGUACCCUAUAAACAUACACAAUUAUUUGUUAUUUAAAAAUGUUUUAAAAAGCAAGACAUACAAUAUAUACAGUAUAAUUCAAUUUACAUAAAGUUGCAAAUCAGACAAAACAAAAUUACACACACACAUGCAUUAAAAUGCAAGGAUAUUAGUAUUACUACAAAAUUCAAGGCAGUAGUUACUUCUGGAAGGGACACACAAGAGCUACAAAUGAAUUGGUGGUGUGCUAUUUGCUUGGGGAGUACAUAGAAUUUAUUUUAUUUUUAAAUUAUUAUUAUUAUUUAAAAUGUACAGGUGUGUUAUAAUGUGCUUUUGUGUGGGUAUAAUGUAUUUUGAAAUAAAUGAAAAGAAAGAAAGUGAUCAAGUUACUAUUUUAUUUUCUAGAGAGUGAUUGUAUUCUUGGAAGAUUCCAGAGAAUUAAAAUACUGAGAGUUCAAUGGGGUUGGAUAAAAAUAGACAUGCAAAACAUAAUUACUUUUAUUUACUAAUAAAUAACCUGUUUAGAAAAUACCUUUAAAAAAUUUAAUCCCUGAUAACAAUGUAAUCAUUAAUAUUCCCAGGAAUAAACCUGACAAAGGAUGUGUGACAUUUAUAUGAAAAACACCAUAAGGGUUCACUAAAGGGUUUAAAGUUCUGAAUGUACGUAAAAAAAUACUUGUCCACUUCUAAUAGGAGUCCUCUCUGAACCCCUUCAUUACAUCUGUGCCUCAUACCUAAUGGAGAGGAAUGCUGAUCCAGUUGGUGCGACUCACAUAACUGAUUAGGUCACUUUUUCUGAGGGUGGAGCUUUGAAAGAACUGGAAAUUUUAUAUUUGUCUGCACGUGCAGUGAGAACAUAAGUGGCCCCAAUUCUGUUUUUUUCCAUCAAGCUUGGCUGCUUCUCUUUCUUUCACUGGGUCUCUCUCUUCUAUCUUAGCUGGUUUUACUUCAGAUAUUACUUUUAACGACUGGAAAAUGUGUUUUCUCUUUCCAUGUAUCUCUCCAGAUCCUCUUUCCGUAGUGCUGAUGGGAGUGACAUAUCAUCCCACUGGCAUAGCAAGGUUUGGUAUUAAUAUUUGGGAUUUAUUAUCAGUUGGUGGUGGGAAGGGUGGUGCAACAAAGAGCAAGAGGACUGGUGACGUGUGGCAUGAGCAGAGCAGAUUCUUCUUUGAUGCUAGGCCAUUCACACUGAUGUAGCUUUAAAGAGGAUAUCCCCACUUUGCCCAGAUGAGCUUACCAGAAGUCUGAAUAUGGUGCAGGGCCAAAGUGUCAGCUAAUAAUAAAGUAUUAUUUUUCCUUACUUUGCCUUCUUUGGGAAAAAAGGGUUGAUUCUGCCAAGGCAGAAUUCAAUUCUUUUCCACCAAUAUCUCAUCUUAUUUUCUAAUGAUAUGUUCCUGAAUAGGAAGAUGCAGAGUUAUAAAGAUUCUCUACAAGUAAAACCGUAAGUUUAAUAAAAUUUUAGCAAUGUUCCCAACCAGUUGUUUUUUAUCUUGAAAAUCUGAUCAAAUUGUUUAUCUUGAAAAAUAAAUGUAAAAGAAUGCCCAAAAACUAUGGAGGAAAAAAGAAUAAUAGGAGAAUUGCAUUAAAAAUCAUAAGCACAUACCCUAAAUAUACUGUAAUUAAAAUUGUAGUAUUGCCUAGAAAUAGACAAAUAGAUCAAUGAGUGGAAUAAAAGACCUAGAAACUACACAUAUAUAGGGGCAUAUAGUAUAAGAUAACAGAUGGCAUAUGAAAUUAACGAGAAGUUUAAAUAACAAAUAUCACCGUUACAAUUGGAUAACAGUUUAGGGAAAAAUAGGUUAGGUAACUACCACUGUAGUAAAAAAUAAAUUCUAAGUAGUUUAAGGAUUUAGACAUCCAUAUCAUGUAAAUUGCAGAAGGAAAAAGAGAGAACAUUUUUACAAUCUUGAAGCAAGGAUCAUUUUCCUUAGCAUGUUGCCAAGGCCUGAAUAUAUAAAAGGAAUGACUUAUUAAAAACAUACAAAUGGAAAAAGAGGCCAUAAAUAAAGAUGAAAGUCAAGAGAUAAGCCGGAAAAUAUAUUUAUAAAAGGGGUUAAUACCCAUAAUAUAGCAAAGAGAUUAAAACAAACAACAACAACAACAACAGAAAAUUCCAAUAGAAAAAAGGGCAAAGCAUUACACAGGCAAAUCACAGUGUGGGCUAAAGGGGGGAAGGUUAAGCCACAGGUCAAGUGUUUCGUGUGAGCUCCCUGCUCUUCACCAAGUGAGACUUAAGAGGGAAGAAAUAAAUUAUUCCCUUCAUCUACUUGACAAAUGCUUAUUAUUUACAUUCAAAGUCUUCCAAGACAGUUGACAUAUUGUCAUGACUUUCUUUAUAACCUUGAUGCUGAGGAUUUAUCGUUCUCUCUUCCCUAGGUUCCAGGUCUGCUAUUACCAAAUAUCAUGUGGACAUUCUGUUUUGAAUAUCUUGUAAUCAUUUUUAAAUGUCCAAAAUUCAAUUCAUCAUUCAUGGGAUCAUUUACAUGAGUUUUCUAUAAGAAAAUUAAUGUCUCGUGCUGUAUUAGUUUUAUUUAUUGCAGCUGAAAAAUUUACCCCCCAAACUCAGUAGCUUAAAACACUCAGCUCCUGUCAGUUUGGAAUCUGGAUGCAGCUUAUGUAGAUGCCUCUUCCUCAAGGGAGUUCACUCACAAGGCUGCAAUCAAUGUGUUGAGCAGAGCUGAAGUCUCAUCUGAAGGCUUGACUGGAGGAGAGCACAUGAUUGCUUCCAUAUUCACUCAUGUGGUUGUUGGUGGAAGUCAGAUCCUCGGGGAUUGUUGGGCUGAGACUUCCCUCAGUUUUUUGCCAUGUGAGCAUCUCCAUAGGGUAGACAGCAACAUUUCAGCUAGCCUCCCUCAGAAUAAGUGGGUGAGAGAGUGAGAAAAGGUGCCCGAGAUAAAAGCCACAGCACUUAGUAAUCUAACGUCAGAAAUUAAGUCCUAUCAUGUUUGCUGUAUUCAGUUGGUUAGAAGUGAGCUGCUAGAUUCCAGCUGACACUCAAGGGGAAGGAUUACACAGGGUAUAGAUCCUAGGAGGCAGUUCAUUGGGGCCAUCUUAGAGGCUGCCUACCUCAGAUGCUAAGGUAUCCAGGAGAACUAGUGAUACAGGUGUGAUCUGAAGUCCAAGUAGAUGGACUAGGCUGGAUAUUACAAGGCUCUGAGGCAUACACUGGAGCAGGGUCAGAGAGAGAGCUCACGGCCAAGGGUGGCAGGAGGGCACUAGUAAAAGUAGAGUACACACAAGUUAAAACUUAGGGUUCAGAGAAGCUAUGAGAGAACAGGUGUGUGUAAAGUUCAGACCAACAUCUUAAGAUUCACAGCUCAGGCAAACAGAACCACAGCACAGCACAGCACAGCUGAGGUUUGACUCUGAUUUUUGAACAGAUAGGACAGGUUUAUGGGCAGCCAUUGAAUGGUGUGGGCCAAAAGAUACAAGCUGUUCUGAUGGAAAAUUCUGUAGCUGCUAUUAAUUAUCACAGGGAGCUUUGUUCCUCAAGGGAGGGAACUUUCAGAGCUCUGAUGUUCUUUAUCUUCCUCUUCCUCCUGAACCAAGUUUUUUUUUGUUUGUUUGUUUUGUUUUUUUUUUUCCCAGUGUCACUGAUUCUAUCAAGGGUGCCUUAAUUCUCCCAAACCCUUUGGCUCCUCUUUUCAUUUUCCUCUCCCAUAUUCAAUUCCUCUCAAGUAAUUAUUUAAGGAAAAGUAUGAAAGUGGCAGCCAGUAAUCUGUGGAAUUUGGGCAGAUUAUGCAAUCAUUCAUUUCAAUAAACAUUAAUUGGGCACCUUGCUACGUAUCAGGUGGGACCUGUGCGGUCUAGCCACCGGCCACGUGUGGCAACUGUGGACUUCAAAUGUGGCUAAUAUGACUAAGGAACUGAAGUUCUAAUUGUUUUAAAUUUAGAAACAGAAGUAGUGUAACAUUUUUCUAUUAAGACAAAUUUAUCGUUUUGGUAGGAAUACAUUUUACUAUGACCAUUGAAAAUUUAGCAUCCACAUUGAGAUAUACUAUAAAUGUAAAACACACAUGGAUUUUGAAGACUUGGUAUGAGAAAAUAAUUUUUAUACUGAUUACAUGUUGGAAUAUAAAUAUUUUGAAUAUAUGGUGUUAAAUAAAAUAUAUUAUUAAAAUAAAUUUCACCUGUUUUUACAUGUAGACACUAGAAAAUUUUAAAUUACAUAUGUAACUUGUAUUAUAUUUCUGUUGGAUAUGUUAGGUUGGACUAUAUGACUUCUUUAGUUAUAUUUUUCCUUAAAAUUCAUAGAUGUUAAAAAGUCUUUGCAGUUUUUAAUCUCAAAAUAUUUGCAUAACCUUCCCUAUACAUGUGUUUUCACAACCACUGACCUCACUGAUCUCCAAGAUGAAGAAAUUUGUGCAACACAAAAAAAAUUAGAAGUAAAAUCUUUGUUUUAUAUUUCUGUAUACUUCCUAGGAAACUCUCAAUUUACAGCUGAACACCAACAGGAAUUUCAAGUAAAUAUUGAGAAGUUGUAAUGGUAUUUGUCACAGUGUAUGAAUUGUGGUUCGUGCUUUCUUCUUAAAUUGUCAGCAGACUUUAAGAAUCAUAUUCAUUGAAAUUUGAGCAAAUUACCAGUAGAUGAUGGCCUUGCAACUUUUCCACAGGUAGGACUUUUAGACUAGCUUCAUUUUUUUAAGAUGGUAAAUUUUAUGCUGCCAAAUACUGAAUAACUAUAUGUUGAGUGAUUAUAAAAUUAAACUUACUCUGCUCUCAGAUGCAAAUAUCAUGAGGGUUUUUCAUGUGUCCACUAGGAAAUCUGUGUCUUAUGAACACACACAUGCUCCUUUCUUCUUAUUUCCCAGCUUGGGCAGGGUCAAGUGGCUGUUCUCUGCUGCCUUGUCCCCACUUUUGUUCUUUGUGAAGAUUACUGAGUGUCCAUAUCCUCCGUCUAGUUCCUGGGCCUUGGUAGUUCGCCCUGAAAGCUCUUUGCAGGUUCCCUUCACCUCUUCCCAUGGUAAGGCCCUAUCCAG